rnacentral:rRNA from 1 species
GAGGAAUUUUGCGCAAUGGCCGCAAGGCUGACGCAGCAACGCCGCGUGGGUGAAGAAGGCCUUCGGGUCGUAAAGCCCUGUCAGGUGGGAAGAACGACACGGGGAGGAAUAUGCUCUGUGAGUGACGGUACCACCAGAGGAAGCACCGGCUAACUCCGUGCCAGCAGCCGCGGUAAUACGGAGGGUGCGAGCGUUAUUCGGAAUUACUGGGCGUAAAGCGCGUGUAGGCGGCCAACCAAGUCUGAUGUGAAAGCCCUGGGCUUAACCUGGGAAGUGCAUUGGAAACUGGCUGGCUUGAGUACUGGAGAGGAAGGGGGAAUUCCCGGUGUAGAGGUGAAAUUCGUAGAGAUCGGGAGGAAUACCAGUGGCGAAGGCGCCCUUCUGGACGGUUACUGACGCUGAGACGCGAAAGCGUGGGGAGCAAAC